UACGUAGGGUGCGAGCGUGUCCGGAAUUAUUGGGCGUAAAGAGCUCGUAGGCGGCCUGUUGCGUCUGCUGUGAAAGCCCCGGGGCUUAACCCCGGGUCUGCAGUGGAUACGGGCAGACUAGAGUCAGGUAGGGGAGAACGGAAUUCCUGGUGUAGCGGUGAAAUGCGCAGAUAUCAGGAGGAACACCGGUGGCGAAGGCGGUUCUCUGGGCCUGUACUGACGCUGAGACGAGAACGUGGGGAGCGAACAGGAUUAGAACCGGUACCGCGAGACCAAGUCCAUCUCGCUACCGUCA
rnacentral:rRNA from 1 species